CAAUAGCGUAUAUUAAAGUUGUUGCGGUUAAAAAGCUCGUAGUUGGAUCUCGGCAGGCAGGGGGUGGUUCGCUCUUAGCGCUACUGCCCCAUUUGCCUGUGUGAUUGGCGGAGGUUUCGGGGUGCUCUUCGUUGAGUGACCCGGGGCGCCGUCAGGUUUACUUUGAAAAAAUUAGAGUGCUCAAAGCAGGCUUUUCACGCUUGAAUAUUCGUGCAUGGAAUAAUAGAAUAGGAACUCGUUUCUAUUUUGUUGGUUUUCGGAAAUCGAGUUAAUGAUUAAUAGGGACAAUUGGGGGCAUUAGUAUUCAGACGACAGAGGUGAAAUUCUUGGACCGUCUGAAGACUAACUACUGCGAAAGCAUUUGCCAAGAGUGUUUUCAUUAA
rnacentral:rRNA from 1 species